rnacentral:lncRNA from 1 species
GCACAACCAACCAUACCAAUUAACCAAAGAUUAACCAGGAUGGUGCCCGAGAGAGCUCAGGAGAGGGUAAACUGAAGUACUAGGGUGCAAGGCGGCAGCGUGUCACCUUUUCACAUUCGAUUCGUUCUACAAAAUAAUGCAUAUUCGUGUCAUAAUUGAAACUGUUAAAUACACUAGGUUUACCUUCCUUCUCUCUCCCACUGUUUAUUAUACAAGUGUGAUGCUUAUUUUCUCAGAGAAACAGCCCCGGAACACUGGGACCUGCGUGUCCGGCGUGCCCAGCUCCCAAGGGCCCGGCUCCCAGUCACACUGCGACUCUGGGCCACUACUCUGGGAUCUCCAAAUCUCGCUCUGAAUCUUUUCCCGAACAAUUUCAAAACAAAGAGAAAAAUACUGCACUAGUAUCCAGCCUGUGCAUUCGGAGCAGACGAGAAUCCGAAAGGCAGCCCGUUCUGUAACACUCUUCCUAUACAUCAGGUAAGGAAAACCGGAUAUGGACAAAUGAACCCAACUCUGGGCCACCAUUUAUCGACUUUCCUGUGCGAAAGCGGCACUGUCAGGGGCUGCGUACUUUCUAACAAUUUCUGAACCUCGCUCUCUAAAUCUUCCAAGGUCUCGUCCCCAGACGCCGGCUAACAAAACCUG